rnacentral:rRNA from 1 species
GAUGAACGCUGGCGGCGUGCCUAAUACAUGCAAGUCGAGCGAACGGACGAGAAGCUUGCUUCUCUGAUGUUAGCGGCGGACGGGUGAGUAACACGUGGAUAACCUACCUAUAAGACUGGGAUAACUUCGGGAAACCGGAGCUAAUACCGGAUAAUAUUUUGAACCGCAUGGUUCAAAAGUGAAAGACGGUCUUGCUGUCACUUAUAGAUGGAUCCGCGCUGCAUUAGCUAGUUGGUAAGAUAACGGCUUACCAAGGCAACGAUGCAUAGCCGACCUGAGAGGGUGAUCGGCCACACUGGAACUGAGACACGGUCCAGACUCCUACGGGAGGCAGCAGUAGGGGAUCUUCCGCAAUGGGCGAAAGCCUGACGGAGCAACGCCGCGUGAGUGAUGAAGGUCUUCGGAUCGUAAAACUCUGUUAUUAGGGAAGAACAUAUGUGUAAGUAACUGUGCACAUCUUGACGGUACCUAAUCAGAAAGCCACGGCUAACUACGUGCCAGCAGCCGCGGUAAUACGUAGGUGGCAAGCGUUAUCCGGAAUUAUUGGGCGUAAAGCGCGCGUAGGCGGUUUUUUAAGUCUGAUGUGAAAGCCCACGGCUCAACCGUGGAGGGUCAUUGGAAACUGGAAAACUUGAGUGCAGAAGAGGAAAGUGGAAUUCCAUGUGUAGCGGUGAAAUGCGCAGAGAUAUGGAGGAACACCAGUGGCGAAGGCGACUUUCUGGUCUGUAACUGACGCUGAUGUGCGAAAGCGUGGGGAUCAAACAGGAUUAGAUACCCUGGUAGUCCACGCCGUAAACGAUGAGUGCUAAGUGUUAGGGGGUUUCCGCCCCUUAGUGCUGCAGCUAACGCAUUAAGCACUCCGCCUGGGGAGUACGACCGCAAGGUUGAAACUCAAAGGAAUUGACGGGGACCCGCACAAGCGGUGGAGCAUGUGGUUUAAUUCGAAGCAACGCGAAGAACCUUACCAAAUCUUGACAUCCUUUGACAACUCUAGAGAUAGAGCCUUCCCCUUCGGGGGACAAAGUGACAGGUGGUGCAUGGUUGUCGUCAGCUCGUGUCGUGAGAUGUUGGGUUAAGUCCCGCAACGAGCGCAACCCUUAAGCUUAGUUGCCAUCAUUAAGUUGGGCACUCUAAGUUGACUGCCGGUGACAAACCGGAGGAAGGUGGGGAUGACGUCAAAUCAUCAUGCCCCUUAUGAUUUGGGCUACACACGUGCUACAAUGGACAAUACAAAGGGCAGCGAAACCGCGAGGCCAAGCAAAUCCCAUAAAGUUGUUCUCAGUUCGGAUUGUAGUCUGCAACUCGACUACAUGAAGCUGGAAUCGCUAGUAAUCGUAGAUCAGCAUGCUACGGUGAAUACGUUCCCGGGUCU